GGCGAACGCUGGCGGCGUGCCUAAUACAUGCAAGUUGAGCGCUGAAGACUGGUACUAGUACCGGUUGGAUGAGCAGCGAACGGGUGAGUAACGCGUGGGUAACCUGCCCUAUAGAGGGGGAUAACUAGAGGAAACUUUAGCUAAUACCGCAUAAAAUCUAAUAACACAUGUUAUAAGAUUGAAAGUGCCAAAUGGUACACUAUAGGAUGGACCCGCGUUGUAUUAGCUAGUUGGUGAGGUAAUAGCUCACCAAGGCGAUGAUACAUAGCCGACCUGAGAGGGUGAUCGGCCACACUGGGACUGAGACACGGCCCAGACUCCUACGGGAGGCAGCAGUAGGGAAUCUUCGGCAAUGGACGAAAGUCUGACCGAGCAACGCCGCGUGAGUGAAGAAGGUUUUCGGAUCGUAAAACUCUGUUGUAAGAGAAGAACACCAGUAAGAGUGGAAAGCUUACUGGCUGACGGUAUCUUACCAGAAAGCCACGGCUAACUACGUGCCAGCAGCCGCAGUAAAAC
rnacentral:rRNA from 1 species